rnacentral:lncRNA from 1 species
GUCGGUGUCUGGCAGGUACUGUGUAUUUUAGAGGACCUUGGAUCGGCAUGCACUCUGUGUUUUCAUUCAUACAUCUGGUAAUCAAAUUGGCAGGAAAUGAAAGCAGAGCCGGAGUUCGGGAGCCUGUCCCUCGCAGAGGAGCUGCUCCACUUGAGAGCGCGGGUUCAGGAGCUGGAGAGGGGGAAGGCUCAGAUGGAUGCUGAAAAUAGGCGGCUCAAAGAUCUACUAGUCAAUGAGAUCCCAUCGCUUCUUGCUGCCAUGAAGCAGAGCAUAUGCGGGAGCACCGCAGGAAGGGAGAUGAGCUCUGAGCUCGUGACGUCGCUUUCCCCUGGUGAUGCAUUUCCGCACUCGGUUCCAUCCGGCCGGUGCCACGUGGAUGGUGUUGGCCUCCUCCAGGAUAUCCCUUCCGGCACCGACUAUUCGGAUGGCGCAAGGUUCAUGCAGGCCGUGUCACGUGGCUCGGGAGGACUGGAUGGCAACGGUUUUGUCAUCGCCGAGGAGGACAGCGGCACGCUGUGUCCCGUCGUCAUCGGUGACGAGGACUGUCCCACGUGCCCCGGCUCGGCCUGCAGCUCGCCAGACUUUGUCCCGGUCAGGGAGAUGGAGCACCUGCAUGUGACGGGGCACGGUGGCAGCCACCUGCGCCAGGUGGAGGUGUAUCCGGGCUCCGGCGUGUUCUGUGACGCACGGGCCUGGCACUCGGCCAUCAAGGCCCACUCGCCCACGGCGAUGGCACGGAUGCUGCUGCUGGGCGUGUUCGACAUGGACACGCUGUUACAGAGCAACUUAAGGGGAGGACGAAGUCGGAGGCCCACCUUCCCCAACCACCGUACCGGUCUGGAUCCCCACAAGCUGGACGCCAUAUACAAUGCUACCUUGGCGAGGUUCCCGUUGGCCAGGAAGGGCCAGAUAGGCACCGGGAUCAACUCCAAGCUGUCAGAGAUCCGAUUCCGGUCGAGGAGAGCCAACCAGGAGAGGAGAUACUUGUGA